GAUGAACGCUGGCGGCGUGCCUAAUACAUGCAAGUCGAGCGAACAGAUGAGGAGCUUGCUCCUCUGACGUUAGCGGCGGACGGGUGAGUAACACGUGGAUAACCUACCUAUAAGACUGGGAUAACUUCGGGAAACCGGAGCUAAUACCGGAUAAUAUAUUGAACCGCAUGGUUCAAUAGUGAAAGACGGUUUUGCUGUCACCUAUAGAUGGAUCCGCGCCGCAUUAGCUAGUUGGUAAGGUAACGGCUUACCAAGGCAACGAUGCGUAGCCGACCUGAGAGGGUGAUCGGCCACACUGGAACUGAGACACGGUCCAGACUCCUACGGGAGGCAGCAGUAGGGAAUCUUCCGCAAUGGGCGAAAGCCUGACGGAGCAACGCCGCGUGAGUGAUGAAGGUCUUCGGAUCGUAAAACUCUGUUAUUAGGGAAGAACAAAUGUGUAAGUAACUAUGCACGUCUUGACGGUACCUAAUCAGAAAGCCACGGCUAACUACGUG
rnacentral:rRNA from 1 species